ACGAGAUGCGUAUCGGAAAGCUUCGGCCGGAAGAUGCGUUAUCUAGUGGCGGACGGGUGAGUAACACGUGGGUAACCUGCCUUAUGGAGGGGGAUAACAGAGAGAAAUCACUGCUAAUACCGCAUAAGCACACAGUACCGCAUGGUAGAGUGUGAAAAGAUUUAUCGCCAUAAGAUGGACCCGCGUCUGAUUAGCCAGUUGGCAGGGUAAAAGCCUACCAAAGCGACGAUCAGUAGCCGAUCUGAGAGGAUGACCGGCCACAUUGGGACUGAGACACGGCCCAAACUCCUACGGGAGGCAGCAGUGGGGAAUAUUGCACAAUGGGGGAAACCCUGAUGCAGCGACGCCGCGUGAGUGAAGAAGUAUUUCGGUAUGUAAAGCUCUAUCAGCAGGGAAGAUAAUGACAGUACCUGACUAAGAAGCCCCGGCUAACUACGUGCCAGCAGCCGCGGUAAUACGUAGGGGGCAAGCGUUAUCCGGAUUUACUGGGUGUAAAGGGAGCGUAGACGGAGUGGCAAGUCUGAAGUGAAAACCCUGGGCUCAACUCUGGGACUGCUUUGGAAACUGUUAAUCUAGAGUGUUGGAGAGGUAAGUGGAAUUCCUGGUGUAGCGGUGAAAUGCGUAGAUAUCAGGAAGAACACCGGAGGCGAAGGCGGCUUACUGGACAAUAACUGACGUUGAGGCUCGAAAGCGUGGGGAUCAAACAGGAUUAGAUACCCUGGUAGUCCACGCUGUAAACGAUGAAUACUAGGUGUCGGGGAGCAAAGCUUCUCGGUG
rnacentral:rRNA from 1 species